CUUAGCCCAUUUGGGACCCAAUUUUAACAAGUCUUUCUCCACACAUUUAAACACUCUUCACGCAUCUCUAGCACUGGUAACCAAUCAAAUUUAUUGUAUUCUAACAUAUUCUAUCCCCAAAAAACACUAGAUAAGUCAUUUAGUCGUUCAACGCAAUGUUUCCGAGUUCUUAGCCUAUUUGGGACCCAAUUUCAACAAGUCUUUCUCCACACUUCUAAACACUCUUCAUGCAUCUCUAACAUUUGUAAUCAAUCAAAUAUAUUGUAUUCUAUCAUAUUCUAACCCUAAACAACACUAGAUGAGUCAUUUAGUGCUUCAACGCAAUGUUUCCGAGUUCUUAGCAUAUUUUGGACCCAAUUUCAACAAGUCUUUCUCCACACUUCUAAACACUUUUCAUGCAUCUCUAGUACUUUUAAUCAAUCAUAUUUAUUGUAUUCUAACAUAUUCUAACCCCAAACAACACUAGAUAAGUCAUUUAGU
rnacentral:lncRNA from 1 species